GACGAACGCUGGCGGCGUGCUUAACACAUGCAAGUCGAGCGGGUAAGGCCCUUUCGGGGGUACACGAGCGGCGAACGGGUGAGUAACACGUGGGUGACCUGCCCUCAGCUCUGGGAUAAGCCUGGGAAACCGGGUCUAAUACCGGAUAUGACUCCAUGACACAUGUUGUGGGGUGGAAAGCCUUGUGCGGCUGAGGAUGGGCCCGCGGCCUAUCAGCUUGUUGGUGGGGNGAUGGCCUACCAAGGCGACGACGGGUAGCCGGCCUGAGAGGGCGACCGGCCGACACUGGGACUGAGACACGGCCCAGACUCCUACGGGAGGCAGCAGUGGGGAAUCUUGCGCAAUGGGCGAAAGCCUGACGCAGCGACGCCGCGUGAGGGAUGACGGCCU
rnacentral:rRNA from 1 species